rnacentral:lncRNA from 1 species
CACGAAACAAUAAUUGUCUAAAAACUUUAUUGCUGAAAAAAGUUUAAAACAAAAUUUCUCGUUUAAUUAUAAUACAAAUGAGAAGAGAAAACUUUUUAAAGAGCUCCAUAUCUAUACACUUUUCGUCUCCUUUUCUUUUAGGACAAGAAUGUAUUAACAAGUCAAACAUACAGAAUUUUCUUUGAAAAACAAUCAUGAAAUCUCUUAGAGACUUUAGCCAAACGCUUUCAGAUAGAUCCUUCAUGUUUUCAUUGCAAGGCCUGCCCAAGAAUCAAGUAAUACUUGUAAUUUUCAAAUUUGAUCAGACAUAGAAAAACAUUUUCACCUUAUUAAAGCAUUUUUAUGAAUGCAGGGGAGGGGGAAAACAAAAGAAAAAUAUCCCGAGUUAGUAAGCAAGACUACAAAAUCGGUAUGCAUGUCCUAUGGGGGAGCCCUUUUAUGCCAAGGGUAGUUCUAGCAUGAAAAUGCAAUCCUCUAGGGUAGGCACCAUACAAUACCUGAUGAAUCCGAUUAACUGAUUGAGUGAAAAAUGAUAUGAAAAAAUUUGGCCAAUUUGGAGUGAGAAGAAACAUUUGUCCUAAAAAUGAGGACAAAGUCCGAAUGGAUCGCUUGCUUUGAUCAACACAAAAUGAUGUGUAAAAGAUAUUACAAUGUCUCGAUUAAUUUAUUCAGUGAACCUUAGACUUAAGCCCUAAAGGGAAUAAACAGGUCAAAUGGAUAUGAUGAAAUUGAUUUAUUCAAAAUCGAUCGAAUUGCACUAAACAUAGCUAGACUGGUCAACUAAACUGAAUGAAAUUGAUGAUCUAUUCAAAAAUCGACCGGAUCACCCUAAAAAAGGGUAAAUUGGACAAAUGAAUUGAAUGAAAUUGCUGAUUUAUUCAAAAAUCGACCAGAUCACCCUAAAAAGGGUAAAUUGGACAAAUGAAUUGUAUGAAAUUAAUGGUUUAUUUGAAAUCGGUUCGAUUGCCCUAAAAAUGGGUGAAUUGGUCAAAUGAAUGAAAUGGGAGUUAAUGAUUUAUUCAAAAAUGAUCAGAUUGUCCUAAAAUUGAAUGAAUUGACAAAAUGGAUUGGAUAAAAUUGAUGAAUAAAAUGGUCCAAUGGAUUGAAUGGAAUUGACAGCUUAUUUGAAAAUCAAUCUAUCCACUGGUAGUUUCAAAAUUUAUUGCGACGCAUUAGUCUAUGAGCCUUCUAAAAUCAAAUUUUGGCCUCAAUUUAUUUUUCGUCUCAAUAGUGAGGAAUUAUUUGUAAAUUUCUUCAAAUUAAUAUCCUUUACGCGAGGGAUUUUUACCAAUUUUGAUAAAAUGUCCAAAAAGUGAUUACUAGACGCUCAUAUUCCAAAGAUCGCUCUAUGAACAUGAUCGGAUCCUACCUUACCUUGUGCACUACCCCUUUGGAUGGUACAAGAAAUGUAAACGUGCAAGUCUCUUUGGAUUAAGUAUCCGAGACACGAGGUGGUUUAUUCCUAACACGGGAUCCCUUAAAUGGUUUUCCCUCUAAGGUGGAUGCAUGAUGCCAGUUUAUUAAAGCAAUAAAAUAUGCAAUGAAAACGACCUAAGGAACCCUUCAUAUGCUAGGGUAGGCCUAAAAUGACAUGCCAUUAUAUCAGAAUUUCUAAACAUGCAAUAGCCUAUCUAUAAGGUUAGGCCCUAAAAGAAGAUCAUGCCAGACCUUCUUAUUUCCUAACGUUUGUGAAUGCAAAGAUAAGAAACAAGGAAACAUUAGUUCAACAUAUAAUCACAUAACACGUUGGACAAAUAGAUGAUAUAAGAAGCAACCAAAGAUAAAUAAGGGAAAAGAGGGUGAGAUCCCUCCCCUCGUGCCUUGUGUCCUUAAACAGGGUAAGGUCGACUCUACCCUAGGCAAUUCUAACAUGGAUGCAUGAGGUUUGGCUUUCUAAUGCAUCUAGACUCGAUUUGGCUUCCGGCUCCCAAGCCUUCAGACCUAAAGGCGAAGGGUCAUCACUCCCAAGGCUUUCGAUCGGUGGCUCGAGUGAUCCCUUAGGUAGCGCUAUGGGCGCAGAGCACACCAUCCGCCUACCCAAGGCAAUCGAUCCUAAUCCUAUAGGGAGAUGUGGGAUGGCGCCCACGAAAAAGAAAAAUAGGGAUAAAAUAAUGCAUGCACGUAUGAAGUGUUUCUCUUAUUGAGGGGAGGGAUUGGGUACCAUAAAUGCGGACGACGGCUCUAGGGUAGUUACCCUCACCCAAUAAUGCAAGCGCGAUACAAAUAUAAAGCAAACAAAUAAAUAAACCAUCCAUUCAUCACAUACAUAGUGUGCGAAGAGCGAUUGGGCGCGCGAUAGAUGCAAAAAUCCCUAAAAAGAGAAAAAGGGCAAAAGGAAAGAGGAAUGCAAUCCUAAACAUCCAAAUGUAAUAGAUAAGAAGGUUAAACGCAGAAAAUAAUCG